GCUGAUAAAUAUAAUCUCCUCAAUAAUAAGUAUUAUAUAUUUUGAUGCUCUAAAAUUUACAUUUAACUCUUCUGUCAGAAUUUAUGGUAUACGUAGUGUUAGGUAUGACAGUAUAUAAAAGGUCAAGUACGAUGUAUACAAACACUAACAGCACAAGUCGAAGCGCCUUCGCUCGAAACGUCGAAGUUCUCCUUGUAUUUUUCAGGUAGUUGUAUCUCUAUCAAUCCGCAGCUUUCGCACAUAUUUCCUCCAGAAUUUCUAGUUGUUUUCAAUCGAUUCCAGUGUAAAAAGUAUCAAAUUUUCGACGAGAAAUUCCAAAUACUUUGUUUAUAUAGAACUCACGUUGGAAAUCCAACGUACUAUCUGCCGUUAGCCAAUCACAGGCCUGAAUCAAUUCGAUUUCUCCAGAGCUAUGCCCACCCUUAACCUGCGAACGGGCAUGCUCGGGGAACGAGAUUGCCACAUCAAGAGCUGAUGUAAUAAUACAUUGUCAAUUUAACUAGUCUGCAAACCAUAAAUCUGAUUUGCAUACAGCACACACAAGACAAGAUGAAUCCAGACUAUUUCACAUCAGUGACCAUGAUUUAGUUGCAACAUUUACAACCAAAUGGAUACCAGGUUAUUAAGCAAAUUUCUUCAAAUUUAAUUGCAACCCCCCCCGUCAUUUUCUUGAAAAAAUUUAAUAGCCCCCCCUUCUUGUCAUUUAUUUCUACAUAUGGCCCCCCCUUAUUUUUUCUCCCCCCCCUUCCAUAAAUAAUGACCGGUCCCUUAGAAUACAGGCGAUAGUGUUGUUACGUUGUAUAGUUUUGUAUAACGUUGUAUAGUGUUGUAUAGCCUUGUGUAAUAGUGUUGUAUGUCUUCUAUAAUGUAGUAUAGUGUUUUGUAGUCCCGUAGCUAUAGUGUCCUGUACCGGUCUAUAGUUUCAUAUAUUAACCUUACAUAGUGUUGUAUAGUCUUGUAUAACAUUGUGUGUAAAUAGUGCCGUAUAUAGCUUUAUAUAUUGUUGUAUAGUUUUGUAUAGAGAUGUAUAUGGCCACUACAAGUUAAUCUUUAGUUUCUGGUCUGCCGCCCGCGUCCUUUCUCCGUAAAGUAUUAUUUCAGGACUAUUUUGUUAUUUACAAUUAAUUUCUAGUUCUUGAAAAUUUUCGCGAAGGAUUUAACUUAUCUUAUAGAACGAUAAAUAUUCAAUUUACACGAAGGAUUUAACUUACCUUAUAGAACGAUAAAUAUUCAAAAGACGUAGCAAAAUGUAGUAUUGAAUGGUAAAAACCGCUGCCUUAUCGAGAUUACGAGGUAAAAAAACUAGAAAUAUUAGAUCAUAUUAAUAGAUCAUUUUGAUAUGUAAAAUCCUUUGUAAUCUGUCAUAUAUGUCGAUUUAUAAAUAA
rnacentral:lncRNA from 1 species